rnacentral:lncRNA from 1 species
UUUAUUACAUAAAACACAGACAUGUAACAUAUCCCCAGAUAGCUCAGGUCUGAGCGCACAUUAUUAAGCGAAUGGCGCUCAGACCACACGAAUACAGUUUAAUCGCCAUGGAGCCAAAGUCUUUACAGUCAGUUUCAUACGAAUGGGCUCCAUGGGAUUCCUAUAUGGGGUAUAACACAUUCAAACAAAACUACCGAACACCGGGCCGUUCGUGCACUUCCACCGAACAAGAAGGGAGGUCGGCGGCUUCAGCGGUGUUCGCGCAAAACUGUGUCCGAUUUUAGUUCCAUGAAAAUAGGGGCGAACACCGCUGUGCAUUCGCAUGUUUAAAAUGGCCGUGACCUCGUGUUCGGGAUACGAAUGGCGGCCACCCAGCAUUCGUCAAUUAAGCUGCGGUUAAUCGCAGCUUCAGGGAGGUUAACUGCCGCCACACUCCAGCUCCCAGGUGGUCUAUUCAUUUGCGCGGUUGUUCGGUAGAUUGAAUCUACCGAACAACCGGCAGAAAAGCACGAAUACAGCUUUUCUGCAGGCAAAAUAAAGUCUUUUAAAAGGGGGCCAUAGUCCAGAGGAAGCAGGCGAGCAACCAGUCUUCUCCAAAGCAAUGUGGCGAGAUUGGUCUCGUCACAUCGCUGUAUUUGUUUAUCGAUGUAUAUCAUUUUAUGUAUCCACACGUUAUAUGACAUUUCUUCUGUAAUGCCUAUUAAAC